UGUAAUCUCUGAAUAAGGCUUUCUGAAUGAAUCUCCUCACUGCAGGAGAUUAUUUUUAAGCGGCACAGUAUUGUGGAAAUAUAAACAAUAUAAAAGGGCUCCAGGACAAAUAAAAGAAAAUCUCACAGUUCUCAAGUUCAAAUACAAAUGAGAACACAAUAGUGGUGAUGUCAUCUUUUCAAUAAGCCUGUGGUCUACGGUAGUCCUUUAUUCAACAGUCUGCAAUUGAGCUUUACUCAAAAUGAACAACAAAAUAAUUUUACAGAAGAAAAAAGAAACUUAUUCAAAUAUGGUUACAUUAGUCCUCCACUGUCAGGUUUAUAACCGAUUUACACCAUGCAUGGCGACUCAUUGCGCAUUUAAAACCGUUACUACUUUGGGCCCCGGAACCAGUGUGCCGAGGCUGGGACCGUCGCCACUUUCUAAAGUGAUGCAGAUGAGUCGGGUGCACUUGACGUCUUUUCAUGACCUAUGUCGUCCCACCCUCCCCUCCAAAGCCCACAGCCCCGCCGGCUCUAUCUGUCAUAUUCGGAUUGGGCUGUGGAACUGCCGCCUGCCCUCGAGCGUGGGAAUGGGAGCAUCCAGUCGUUCACAUCUCCUGCGCUCCGUUUAACGGAAUCAAUUAAGGAGGAGCGACCCCCUCGCUCUCCCACGCGCCCACCCCUUUUCAUUUUUGUCAGCUCUGCAUAUGUCCUAAUUAUUUCUGUUUGGGAUGCCGGCGCCGUUUCCUGGCCAAAGGCAGCCAAGCUGAAACAAAAAGUGGCAAGGCGUGCACGUGGGUUCUGUAAAAUGUCAGUCUGCAGUAGCUUUGCCACUUGAUGUAGGAUCGAUCACUGUUUUCAAAGAAGAAACUUUUAUCACUGAAUUAACUUAUUAACUAAUUUCAUGAGACAACACACAAACAAUCAAACAAAUAAAUAAACAAACCGCGCGCUGUGUGUAAACGAGAGAGAGAGAGAGAGAUAGAUAGAUGUUAAUCUAUCGAACCCCACAUUACCCUCAAUUACCAAUAAUAUUUCACAAAUCACACGAAAUAUAUAGGAGUGGAUUCCUUAAUGUCAUUAAAUUAUGAAGCAUCCAAUCGGCUCGAUGUGUCUGGAGGCAGUUUUUACUUUCGGUUAUCUAGCUUUAUGACGACCAACACACUCAUACAGCUAGAUAACCAAAGAUAACAACUCGCUUCCAAUUCCAUGACAGUAAUCCAGAUAGCUCGUCUUGAGUUGUGCAAAUCCAAAUAACGAAGUUGUAAAAUCAGCAUAAAACAGCCACCGAACUCCUUAAUUGUGAAGUCAUCCGGUGUUGUCCUCGUUGAUCAAAUGCAUCAUGCCUGCAAAGUGCAGCUAAAUAUCGGUAUCUUCAAAGGUCAAGAAGCACAAAUUAUAGGCUAUGCCAUAAUCCCUUAGACACUUUCAUUACAUAAAAUAAUGUCAGAGCAGAGGGCCAACGACGAGUAAGGUGCAGUCAUCCUUACACAGGCCCUCAUUUGCAUUGCAAAUUGACCCUCAAUCUCACAAAAGGCUCCUUUGGUUCUAUUAGACUGUGGAGGCAGCGACAGAUAUCCCACGGAACCAGCGGUGAGGUUACAAAGGAGAAAUCCGAUUCCAGAGGAGAAGUGUACAUAAGAAUAACAUCGCGUUUGUUUCGCCACUCAAUGGAGAGAUCUCGCUUUUUUUUUUUUGGACGAGGGGUGGCAGGUUGUCGGCGCAAAUCAAGCGGGGCACGGUGGAAAGCGGUAAUACCCUAGAUCGGUGAUCGCUGCCAUACGCGACGAGAGGGAAAGAAUUCCGCUCCGCUGUCUUCCUUCCACGAACGGUCUGAGAGAAGGAAAAGGGCCAUCUCAGAGAGUAGGGGGGGAUAAGGGGAGGGGACGGGCAUCCACUGCCAAAAUCUGGACCAACCACAGAAGGUCAAAGGUCUCGGACCGCGGGAGUGCCAAGCUAGACAAAGUGUCCGAUAUUUUUGACUCGAGGAAGAAGACUCGGUGUAUAGAGCCUGGCCUGGUUGUAUACGGAUACGGAUGCGUCGUGCACUGUGAGUUGAUACGCAAUGGUGCUUUUCUGUUAUUGUAAGGCAGGAUGUAGCACCAUCACAACGUGUUAUUUUCCGUUUGUGGCAAGAUAUAAUAUAUGGAUUCUAACAAUAAGAAUAGUCCGCGCGAAACCAUGUUUCAUUUUUCAACUGAAGUUUAUAUGAACUGACCUUAAUUCAACAUGACAGAAAAAAAACAUGCUUUGUAGUCUGCAAGUAAUGUCGCUGUAAUACAUUAUUCACUGCCUCUGUAUAUAUGUGUCUGCGUGCGUGUUAGUUAUAAAAUGUAUGUGUGUGUGUGUGUGUGUGUGUGUGUGUGUGUGUGUGUGUGUGUGUGAGUGCGUGUGCGUGUGUGUGUGCGCGCGCGUGUGUUGGGGGCGCUCGAGAGGGGGCAGCGUGGUAAACGUGGGAAAACAAUAAAAAUUUCCUUCAUCA